CGCCAGGACCGGAACCGCCAGGACCGGAACCGCCAGAACCGGAACUGCAGACCCAAAUAGACCCAGAACGGAACCGGAUACAGCCUUAGUCUGACUGGUGCAUUUUUUGGAGUCUUCUUCUCCAAUUUUAUCCUGAAGACCUCCACAAAAACCAGACCUUCCCCUCCACCAACGCCGUUGCUUUCUCAGUCUUCACUCCCUCCCCUGUUCCUCCUCUUCAUUUCUCCGUGUAAAGACCCCUGUUCUUCUUCCUCACUUUAGAGCAGAAACACUCUCUUCUCAGCCAUGUAAUUACCCAAAUCCUAGCUCCAAAACUCCCGAAAUCACAACUGAAAAAUCCGUCACAAACUUUAGCCAUGAAACAAUCUUGAAAUAGUCCCAAAAAUCAUGUGAAGAUUGGCUCCUUCCUUACCAAUCUGUUUUUCUUUCUGUGUUUGAGAUUCCGGGUAAAGCCAGAGGUCAAAGUUUGAGGUUGCGUUCGAGUCUUCGUUUAUAUAGCUGUCCGAGCUUAGUUGUUGCUUAAUUUUUGAGAUUCUUGAGCUGUGUUGGUAUAAGAAUGUGCUGUUUGUUGCUGUCCCUGUGCGCCGAGUUUCCUUCUUCUACUCCUUACCUUUAUUUGGCUUUUGUCAUCCUGCUUGCCCCCUUGCAUUUAAGGUACACACAGAAUCCCAUUUUGUUGUGCUGAUUUGUGAGAUUAAUGUGUAACUCAAUUUUGCCUUUGUUUAUAAUCCUAUACUUGCUUGAGGAUAAAUUCCUACUUCUGUUAAGAUUUAGUUGUUUCAUGCAAUGGGGUAUAUAUUCUGAAUUUGUUCAUUGGGUUGCUGUGGUUUUAUUUAUUUAUUUAUUUAUUUUAUCUGUUUGGUUGGAGGCAAUUUUAAAGAAGUUACUUUCAAUAAUUUGUACUGCAAUGCGAAAUUGGUUUUGUUGAACUAUGUUUGAUUAUAAACAUUUUGAGCUAAUUAAAAGAAUAGAGCAAUGCCAACUUUAUAAUUAUUUGUUAUUCUUGUAAAGUUGAAAGUGCUGCCACGAGGUUGUGAUUUAUAUGCCCUUCAAACGGUUUCUGAAAUUGGAUAAUUAGUGUUGGACUUUCUAGUCCAAAAUUGUGUUGAAACAGCAACCUCAUUGAUUGGUGUUGGAAAUUAAAGCACUGACACUUUCUUUUAUAAUUUUUUUCUUGCUCACCUAGUUUUAGGUAAAUUGCACAUAAAUGUCAGGAUGCAAAUGAGAGUUCGUCGUUGGAAUUUGAAGAUGACCAGCGGCAUAUCCGGUGAUCUAAGCAGAUUGAAAUUAAUAUACGUAGCUAAAUUAUAUCCGCGAAUAUUUGUUGUACUUUGAAGAACUGUUAACACAAUUUUUAUGCAUAUCUGAAUUUAGUUGUGUGACCCUAUUUGACUUUGUUUUUGCCAUCAUUUUUUGAGUUUAAGCUACAAAUGGAUUGUAAAAAAAGUUUUUUUGGUCAUAAUUGAGACGUAUCAUGCCAAAUAAAAUCCUUAAGCCUAUGGCCCUCACAAAAUUAGUUAGCCUUUAAUAAAAAUUUAAGGUGUGUCAUAUUAAAUAACACCAAUAGUUUAUGGCCCUCAAAAGUUUAGUUCGAACAUCCUUUAAAAUUAGAAUUUUGAGAUGUGCACGUUAGUUGAAUUUUCAUGGCCCUCGCAAAAUUGAAAGUGCAUAGUUGCUUUAGGAGCGCUAUUUUAAAAAAAAAUUACUUUGCUAAACUCGGCUGUGUAUUUCAUGUGACCCAAAUCCAAAUCUCAACAGCGUUAAAUAAAACGUGUUUAUGGGUGCAUUUCGUGUGGCGUGGUUCAAAGACGCAUUUUAGAUAACGUUGAAUCUUCUUAAAAUUAAUUAAAAACGGCAAAUAAGUUUAAAAUAUACCAUAUGCUAAAACAUAUAUUAAAAUCAGAUAAUAGGCCAAUUAUGAGAGUUUAAGCGACCUUGGUAGAACCACGGAGUCCGAGGGUGCCUAACAUCUUCUCUCGGGUUAACAAAAUUCUUUAUCCGGAUUUUUGGUUCGCGGAUUGUAAUACAGAGUCUUUUUCUCGAUUCAGGAUUUGAACCGGUGACUUGGGACAUCAUGAAUUAUCCCAAGUGGCGUCGCUAAAUUUUAAAUAAAUAAUUCCGUUUCGAUUGUUACUUUAAUUGGAAAGAACUCCCUUAUAUACACCCUUUCUAGGGGUGUAUGUAAAAAUGGAGAUAUGACACCGGUGUGGUGUACUCAUGCCCUUUCUACACAUGGUUUUCAUGUGCAGAUUCAAGUACCCUGACUCAGACUAACCACCAUUGAGGCGAGGCGAUCCUUCGAAGACUUCGAGGUAUAUUUACCGCGUCCGCAGACUGAGGAGUCUCUCUCCAUUCUCUCUUAUAGUGAUAACCCUUAUAUCGUUACUGUUGAUAUAGACAUACCGGAGUUAGAGCAUUUCACUGUAUUCUUAGCUUGUGAUUCAUGGGUUUUCGGGUUUUGGAAGUGCUGUUAGUUCGAGAAGUUGUAUUGUAUAUGCCGG
rnacentral:lncRNA from 1 species